rnacentral:lncRNA from 12 species
UUCCAUAGCAGCUCUGCGCAGGGACUCAUUGUGCUUAGGAGUUGUUCUCGGCUCAUUGGCCUGCUUGGCUGUACAAACAGCUCCUUGCUAGGAAUACAGGGCACGGCAUGAGGUGAUUUUUGCGAUAAAGGGGGAUGUCUUCAGACAGAACAAGGACACAUCAAAUGGAAGGACCUCGAGCAGCAUGUGCUUUCACAGAAACCAACGUAGUCUGCAACUGCUGGUCUGCUGGGCCUCAGGGUCCUCCACAGCACUGGACUGUGUCUUUCUUUCCUAUAAACAUGUGUGUAUCUGGAUACCAGCAUAUAGCUGAAGAUAUCCAGAGACAGCUCAGUAUACUGGGCAGAAGAGAAGCCACGUGGAUAUUGAGGGCAGAGUUAGUAUUGUAAGCUGAAACCGUUCAGUGAAGAAAAGAGGAGCACUAC